UGAGUUGUGACUCAGUGGUAGAGCACUUGCUUAGCACACGUGAGGCACUGGGUUCAAUCCCCAGCACCACAC
rnacentral:tRNA from 1 species